UACGGAGGAUCCAAGCGUUAUCCGGAAUUACUGGGCGUAAAGAGUUGCGUAGGUGGCAGAGUAAGUAGACAGUGAAAGCGUGUGGCUCAACCAUAUAAACAUUGUCUAAACUGCUCAGCUAGAGGAUGAGAGAGGUUAUUGGAAUUCCCAGUGUAGGAGUGGAAUCCGUAGAUAUUGGGAAGAACACCGAUGGCGUAGGCAGAUAACUGGCUCAUUCCUGACACUCAGGCACGAAAGCGUGGGGAGCGAACGGG
rnacentral:rRNA from 1 species